AGUGGCGGACGGGUGAGUAACACGUGGGAAUCUACCAUAAGGUGGGGGAUAGCAGACCGAAAGGUCUAUUAAUACCGCAUAUGUAGGCAUCUCGACAGAGGUGCUUAUGAAAGGAGUAAUCCGCCUUUUGAUGAGCCCGCGUCCGAUUAGCUAGUUGGUAGGGUAAAAGCCUACCAAGGCGACGAUCGGUAGGUGGUCUGAGAGGAUGAUCACCCACAAUGGGACUGAGACACGGCCCAUACUCCUACGGGAGGCAGCAGUGGGGAAUUUUACGCAAUGGGGGAAACCCUGACGUAGCGACACCGCGUGAGCGAAGAAGCCCUUUGGGGUGUAAAGCUCUGUCAACAGGAACGAAAUCAAUGACGGUACCUGAGGAGGAAGCAUCGGCUAACUACGUGCCAGCAGCCGCGGUAAGACGUAGGAUGCAAGCGUUGUCCGGAUUUAUUGGGCGUAAAGAGUUCGUAGGCGGUUUGUUAAGUCUGAUGUUAAAGACCGGGGCUCAACCUCGGAAAUGCAUUGGAUACUGGCAGACUGGAGUGCAGUAGAGGCUAGUGGAAUUCCCAGUGUAGCGGUGAAAUGCGUAGAUAUUGGGAAGAACACCGGUGGCGUAGGCGACUAGCUGGGCUGUAACUGACGCUGAGGAACGAAAGCCAGGGGAGCGAAUGGGAUUAGAUACCCCAGUAGUCCUGGCCGUAAACGAUGGAUACUAGGCGUAGUG
rnacentral:rRNA from 1 species